AUUUAUAAAGUUUUUAAAACAUUUCAUUUUCAUUGAAAAGAUGAGAUAAAUAUCUCUAUAAAUG
rnacentral:tRNA from 1 species